GUGUCAGCAGCCGCGGUAAUACGAAGGAUCCAAGCGUUAUCCGGAUUUAUUGGGUUUAAAGGGUGCGUAGGCGGGCUAUUAAGUCAGUGGUGAAAGCCCCAAGCUUAACUUGGGAAUUGCCAUUGAUACUGAUUGUCUUGAGUACACUUGAAGUGGGCGGAAUGUGUCAUGUAGCGGUGAAAUGCUUAGAUAUGACACAGAACACCGAUUGCGAAGGCAGCUCACUAAAUUGUAACUGACGCUGAGGCACGAAAGCGUGGGGAUCAAACAGGAUUAGAUACCCUGGUAGUCC
rnacentral:rRNA from 1 species